GAGAAGGAGAACCACCUCCCGUGGGCAGGUUCCUGCAUGGGUGUAUUCCAGGGCCUGCAGCGAGGUCAAUUCUGGGAGCUCAGUGAGGCAGGCAGCGUUGGCCAACAACAUUAACCAUGUGACGUUGUCACGCUACCUCAAGCGGAGGGCAGAAGAGGGCAGUGAAGCGGCUAGGUCCCCUGGCUAUAACCCACACAAUAGGGUUUUUAACGCAGCGCAGGAGGGAAAGGUCAGGGACUACCUGAAGAGGGCAGCAGCCAUUUAUUUUGGGCUCACCCCUAAUGAGGUCAGAAAAUUUGCCUUUGAGCUGGCAGUCCACUUCAGCUGCCCAUUCCCUGCAUCCUGGUCGAGGAAGAGCAUGGCGGGGAAGGACUGGUUCACCUCCUUCAUGGAGCGCAGUGGCAGCCUCUCCCUUCGGCGUCCAGAGGCCACUAGCCAACAGCGAUUGUCCAGCUUCAACCAAACAAAUGUAAACUUGUUCCACCAAAAUUUAAAGACGGUGCUGGAACGGCACCAGUUCCAGGCCAAGGACAUUUGGAACAUUGAUGAAACCGGGGUCACCACUGUCCAGGUGCCAGACCGUGUCGUCGCCCAGAUGGGGCAGAAGCAGGUCGGGUCAGUGACCUCAGCGGAGAGGGGGACCCUGGUCACAGUUGCCUUGGCAGGCAAUGCGCAGGGCGACCUUGUUCCGCCAUUCUUCAUCUUCCCCCGUAAGCGGUUCAAAGACCACUUCCUGAGGGGUGGACCCGUUGGCUGUGCAGGCAGCGGCAACCCAACUGGCUGGAUGAAGGAGCCAGACUUCCUCCUGUACCUGGCCCACUUCACCAGGCACACCCGUGUGUCCAAGGAGUCGAAGCUGCUCCUCCUGCUGGACAAUCACCCGUCCCACCUGUCAAUUGCAGCAAUUGAUUACUGCAGAGCUAAUGGCAUAGUGCUGCUGUCAUUCCCUCCCCACUGCACCCACAGGUUGCAGCCAAUGGACAUUAGUGUCUUCGGGGCCCCCUAAAGGGGUACGUAAACAGUGCGGCGGACAGGUGGAUGAGGAGCCACCCAGGGAUCAACAUCUCCAUUUAUGAUGUGCCCUCCAUCGUUGCUGAAGCCUUACCAAAGGCUGCGACAGUGAACAACAUUACCUCCGGGUUCUCAAGUCCAGGGAUCUGGCCUUUUAACCCCUCUGCGUUUGAGGAAAAGGACUUCGCCGGAGCCUAUUCCACAGACCGUCCUCCUCCCCAGGCUUCGGGUGACGAGGUCAGCGCUUCUCCAGGUGCCACUUCAGGUAGGAACACUUCAUCAGAAGCAACAGAGGAUUAAACAGAGUUCAUAAUAGAUAAGUAAAUAGUCCCAUAAGUCCAAGUUCAUAAAAAAAGUCCAUUUUUUUAGUUUUUUUUUUUUAAAAAGUCCAAAACGUCCAAUUUAACGUUUUCAGGACAACUGCUAUACUUACGGACACCCCCGGUGAGGGCUGCUUUAGAGGCGGAAAAGCAGGGAACUGGGAAGCAGCGUCGUCCCGCCAAGCAGCCUCCCUCCUCUCGGGCUCCCAAGAAGAGGCUGUUCUCGCCCGCUCCUGAUGCCGGAGUUGCUGGAGUUGCCACCUCAGCUGCUCCUCCCACCAUCACCUGGCCCGCUGAUGGAGUCAGCCCCACCUUAGGCCUAGUUUGUCCUGUUCCGGAGGCAGCAGAGUUCACCACCAUUGCUGCCUCCACUUCUCCAAUUUAUUUAGGCCUAUCCAGCGAGGACGUCAGCUGCCUCGUGUGCUCCGAGCUCUUCAGCGCCUCGAUGCCUGGGGAAGAGUGGGUCCAGUGUGUCUUUUGUUAUAAGUGGUCGCAUGAGGCUUGCACCGACGGGAGUGCACACUACCUGUGUCACCUGUGUG
ensembl:lncRNA